GGUCCGGUAGCUCAGUUGGCUGGAGCACUUGGUUAACACCAACCGGUCGGACGUUCGAGUCGUCCCCGGACCACGA
rnacentral:tRNA from 1 species